ACAAAGGUAGAGCUUAUCUGGACAGAUGACACCCUGCCCAAAACUACAUAUUUUAAUUAUACUUUUUUAGGCUGAAUCAGCGUGUGUCCCAGCAUGCUCUGAGAGGUCAGCUCACUGGGUAUUACAAUAGGCUAAGAAACCUCUUAGAUGUUUUCCCUGGCUUCAGAGACAAGUACCUCCUAACUGGACUAUCUCAAGGAAAAAAGGGGAGCAAGACUUAAAGAAAAACCUUGCAGCUGAUCCCAGGUCCUUCCAUCCUCGACCACACUCUUUGUUGUCUCCAGAUGGAUGCACCUUCCUUAAUUUGUGGUUCAUCCCUCACCCUACUGAAGUGCUGAUCAUGUUCAAAACAAUUCCAGAGAAGGGGGCUCUCAGAGCUCUCCACCUAAGCCUAGAAAUUGUUGGUGCAUUUCAUGACGUGGUUUCAUAUCUCCUGGCUUUUGCUCAAUUAAGAAAUUCUCCAAACUGCUUUUGUGCCUUAAACGCAGAACCUCUGAGCCCAGACUGGGGAGGGACUGACACAAUUGACUGUUGUGUUUCAGGAACAUGCCCACAGCACCACAGAUCUGUCACAAUCUCACAGGAAAGCAACAUACCUACCGGGCUCGGGAGGUCUGCUCUGGCAGGGAGCAGAGAACAUGGUCCAAAAAUUGCUCUUCCGCCUUGCUCUUCCUUCUGUUGAGCCAUCUGGUCAGCCCAUGAUGAGUUUGUCUUUACCAGGAGAUUAAAAAAGCCAGGCUUGGGAUCCUCUAGUAAAUCUGUCACUUGAUUUUCUUUUGAAAGGGUAAAACAGCUGAGGUGUGGGUUAUCCUGAAUGAACAUGUAUUUGUGCAGAAAAUAGUACCUGUUUCCCUAAUAGCUUUCACUUGUUGUUGAUGUUAAACUGCACUGCAGGAGUGGGAUGUGUCUACCUUUCCUUUAGUGGUUAGCAGUGAGCUACUGGUAUCUAACCACCAUUCAGGUGCCGUGCUGUCACUGGACAUCUUUGCUGGACACCAUUACAAAGACACCUUCAGAGGAGUUGCUUGUCCCAAGCUAAAACGUGUUCAAAGUGAGUGGGAUGAAACCCUCUUCGGAGGUGCCUGAGAUUGCAGGAGCCAAGUUAAAAUCGAUGCCUGAUAAUUAGGCAACUAAAGUCACAUGAGAUAAUCCUGUCCCAAGUGCUGAAGUGCCUUUGGCAUUUGACUUUUAAGCCACUGGAUUAUUCCCACAAUGUAGUGAGCUGGAGUUUCAAAACAUGGCAUGUUAUUCGUACCUCCUCCUCAGUGUUGCAUGUCCUGCGUGGCUGGACUGUUCUCCUGCCACCUAGAAAUGCCCACAUUUAUACAUCUGUACAUUUGGUGCUGCUCAGGCACAACUCAGGAGUAAAAACUUUACCUGCACAGCUUCCCUUCUGUCCUGGUGUGUUUUAAAAAAAUGAAAAAUUGAUUAUGACUAUUGGGCAAAAACAUUAAAUUCUUCAAGAAUUGGGAAAAAUAUGUAAAAGACUAGCUUUGUCUUAUAAUGUCUCCAGAUUUUAUGCCUUACAUCUUUUUCUUUUUAUGUAAUAGUCUUAUUAUCAGUUCUGAAUUUAUCUUUCAUUUAAAAUUCAAAAUUUCAUUUUAGAAGGGAAUAAAAUAAAUAAAAUUUCAUUUUAGAAGGGAAAAAUACGUAAAAGACUAGCUUUGUCUUAUAACGUCUCCAGAUUUUAUGCCUUACAUAUUUUUCUUUUUAUGUAAUAGUCUUAUUAUCAGUUCUGAAUUUAUCUUUCAUUUAAAAUUCACAAUUUCAUUUAGAAGGGAAUAAAAAAGGGAAUAAAGGGAAUCCCUUCUAAAUAAUUUCAUUUAGAAGGGAUUCAUUUUAGAAGUGAAUCAUAAAUACUUGUUACAGCUUUUAUUUUAAUACUGUGCUUGUGAGUGUUUGAUUUUGAAGUGGGUUUAUUUUCUCUAACAAAAAGCAGUGCCUGUUCUGCGGUGUGCGCUCACUGUACUGUCAAGUGCGUACUAGUAACUUCGUUUGUAUAUGGCUGAGAAAGCUCGUGUAAAUUAGCAUGUUUAAUGAGCGCUGAAACAAUCAAGAAGACUGAGCUCAGUGAUCAGUGAGAACCCAUAUAACCAGAUGUAGGAGGAAUAUUAUGUGCAAUGUAUUUCAAUUUCAGAUGUAUCCCAUGUGUGCCUAGCUACCACACUUAAAACAGAAAAUAGAGACAAUGAUGGAGUCCUCAGUACUCUGCUGUCUCUAUAAUGCAUUUUGAACAGACAAUUUAACUCCAUUACUCCUGACGAAGAGAUCUUUUUUGUUGCUGCUGCUGCGGAAUAAUUUCCCUCUCCUCCAAAUCAGACCAUUUAACUUCCUUAAGUGAUGGCAGCCCCUGCAGCCCGGCAGAGAGCACAUUGGGUUUCUAUAACAGGUGCUUCCAAGUUAAAUCCCUUCUGCGGUGCCUGUGUCUUUGGAGGCAGUCAAGCCCUGUGUGCACAUUUCCUACAAACGCUAAGUGAGAGCAGGUGCUCUUGUAAGGGUAAUGGCUUGUAGUGACCCAUUGCUUUGAGAAGUUUUUUUGCUAGGCUUAAAGGGAAUAAAAACACCUUAGACCCUCAGCAGAAAAAUAUUCAUUAGCUUGCAGAAUUGAGCCCCAACAGUAUUUUAUAGAAAGCAGCUGAAGAAGUUGUCCCUAUCACUCCCUACCAGGUAAUAACUAGUUUGGGUUCCUGGAGUAAGUAAAAUGCCAUCUCAGGAUCUGAUUCUGCUCCUGUCUGACAAAUUUGAUCUCCAUAUUUUCAGUUGCAAGGGACCUACAAUGAUCAUCUAACCAGAUACGAUAACGAGAAAGAUAUGCCACCGUCCUUGUUGGUAUCUUAUAAUAAUUGAC